GACGAACGCUGGCGGCGUGCUUAACACAUGCCAGUCGAACGGAAAGGCCCUGCUUUUGUGGGGUGCUCGAGUGGCGAACGGGUGAGUAACACGUGAGUAACCUGCCCUUGACUUUGGGAUAACUUCAGGAAACUGGGGCUAAUACCGGAUAGGAGCUCCUGCUGCAUGGUGGGGGUUGGAAAGUUUCGGCGGUUGGGGAUGGACUCGCGGCUUAUCAGCUUGUUGGUGGGGUAGUGGCUUACCAAGGCUUUGACGGGUAGCCGGCCUGAGAGGGUGACCGGCCACAUUGGGACUGAGAUACGGCCCAGACUCCUACGGGAGGCAGCAGUGGGGAAUAUUGCACAAUGGGCGGAAGCCUGAUGCAGCAACGCCGCGUGCGGGAUGACGGCCUUCGGGUUGUAAACCGCUUUCGCCUGUGACGAAACGUGAGUGACGGUAAUGGGUAAAGAAGCACCGGCUAACUACGUG
rnacentral:rRNA from 1 species